CUGCAACUGAGGCUUACUGUAAAACAUUUUGUGAUACUUUGUAUGAAGAAUGUUAUAUAAAAUGAAAUUGCAUUGUAUUUAUGACCGGCACUAUAAUAAUGGUCUAUCAAUGUUUCCAUUAUAAGCCUCUAUUGUUGAGGGCUUUAAAACUCACCCAUAAAGAUUCACUCAGGACUGUAGCAGAGUGUACAAAGGAUAAGCAAAUCCUCUUGGCUAUUUUUGAGUUAUAAAAAGUGAAAUUAUGAAUGCAAAUUAGACUUUUAGAGGUUGCAUCUCUUUUUGGUGUGCGUAUAAGUGUAUGUAUGUGUAUAUAUAUAUAUACACACACAUUUUAAAAGGUGGUUCGGAAGCAUUGUUUUCAUUAUUUAAAAGUGUGUUUUCAAAAAGUACCUAAGAAAGUUAAUGGAUUGCACUGUUUUGUGCCGUCACAUUCCUAGGAAAUGUUGCUCAUUAAAUCUCCUGGCAGGAUCAGGCCUAGACUCCCGAGUUGUCAUUGAUUUCACCCGGGCUAAAGGCACCUGACAGCUUGUAGCCUUGGAGCCCCAACCCAAGAAGAGCAGAAGGUGCAAACUACAGAAGAAUGAAUUUGCAAGUGCAUGUUCCCCUCCCCAUUUUAAUCACCCCCAAAGUCCCCUGCAGCAUUUUAUUGCUGAGUGAAUUUGCACACUCAGCUAACUCAGCUGAAACGUCAUUGGCAUAUGUAUGGUUCUUCUGUCCUUAUGUCCAUUAUGUUUAAGGUUCAGGAACCUGAAACUGUACACACUGAAGCCAGGAAGCCUGGGGUGUAGCAGAGAGAAAUAUUCUGGCUGUCAGCUCAGUGAAAGUGAGGUCAAUCUGACCACACUUUUCCUAAAGGAUCCUCUUCUGAACCAUCUGCUUGAGUAUACAUCUCCUGACAAAUCAAUGGCAGAAUCGAGAGGUUGGGAUGAAUACCAUUCAGGAACAAAAGAACAAGUGAAUAAACAGACUGCAAUGGCUCUGCCUUUAAUACACUUCCACCCCUGUGUGUUAUACAGCCAUAAUACUGAACACAUGAGGCAGACAGCUGCCCUGAGGCAUUCUCUGUAA
rnacentral:lncRNA from 1 species